rnacentral:rRNA from 1 species
UACAGAGGGGGCAAGCGUUAUUCGGAAUUAUUGGGCGUAAAGGGCGCGUAGGCGGCCAUUCAAGUGACGGGUGAAAGCCCUCGGCUUAACCGAGGAACUGCCUGUCAGACUGGAUGGCUUGAGACCGGGAGAGGUGAGUGGAAUUCCCAGUGUAGCGGUGAAAUGCGCAGAUAUCAGGAGGAACACCGGUGGCGAAGGCGGGUCUCUGGGCCGAUACUGACGCUGAGGAGCGAAAGCGUGGGGAGCGAACAGG